rnacentral:lncRNA from 1 species
UUUUCCCACUGUACAGCAAGGGGGUCAGGUUAUCCUUAGAUGUAUACAUUGCAAUUACAGUUUUUUCCCCCACCCUUUCUUCUGUUGCAACAUGAGAAUCUAGACAUAGUUCUCAAUGCUAUUCAGCAGGAUCUCCUUGUAAAUCUAUUCUAAGUUGUGUCUGAUAAGCCCAAGCUCCCGAUCCCUCCCACUCCCUCCCCCUCCCAUCAGAUAUAUAACUUUUUUAGUGAAAGGUGCAGUUCCAAAGUCCUACGUUUGGCACUCCUUCCCAUAACUGACUUCACUCCUCUUAUCGGAGAGCUAUUCUGGGGAAUCUGUCAGCAGCCAAAUUUGUCUGCUACAACUAUGCUGGUAGGAACCAGAGAAAUACCUACGGUAUAGAAAAGGCACAUGGACACUGGGACCUGCUGUGAGACAGAUGGGGGCCAACGCCACUUGAGCCCUGAUCUACAAAAGCCCCCACAAUGGUAUUCUGAGUCUUAAGGGCUUCAUAUAAUUCAAAGUUGGGAGUCAAUAAUGCCGACAAUUUCUUGGUAUUUUUUCCCCCAAGUGAGAGUUGUUGUUGUUGUUGUUUUUCUGAUAAAUGGCUGUAGAUCUCUUUGAGAACACACAGAAGGAAACCUGUACAAUAUAUAAUUAUUCCAAUGUCUUAGGGUCUUUGUGCCAGCAUUUGUGACUCGUUCCUGUCUGGAAAUUAAGACAUGACCAUGACGCUCACUCUUGUGACCCAAAAUCCUAAGACUUCAUUUCCAGAUUUAGUUUUUUUUUCUUUUUUAAAUUAAGCCUAACUUCACAAGUUUCCCAAUUUACCAGAGUUCUAGGGAUCCUGUGGCCAGGUAACCACCAACCAAGACCCUUAUGGUCAAACUAUUGUGAUUACCACAGUAGCCUACUGUUUAUUUCAGUAACAGAUGACUGUUUUGUAGUGAUUAAUUACUGCUACUGGGACUCCGCCAACUGAAGAUUCUAUCAUACUCUUAAGUCCCAAGGAAUUAGCUUCAAAGCCAGAGUCUUCUGACCCUUUCAUGCCAGGCCUGGCAGAAACAUUUGUUCCCUAGCAUUUUUGAAAAAUAUUAGUUCUUACAUAGCUAAUACCUAUUCUAGUCCUUGGUUAAGGGGAUGUCCUUGGGGCCAUUUCUGGGUAUGUGGUAAACAUGAAGGUGAAAGAGGCUCGCAGCAAAAUUCAAUUAAAAAUUCCUAUUUCCUUAAGUCUUCGGAUUCCUCCUCUACCUGACCUAAGGAAUUCUGGUGUCUCAACCUCAGCUCAUGGAUGCAUCACUGAAACGAGCAGGAAGCAGAAGGAGGUAGAGUUUUGCUGCCUCACAGCAGGUUCCCAGUGUCCACAUACCUAUCCUGUGAUCACCUCUCAAGUGUAUUUCAUUGUGCUGCGAAACGUAGUAAACCAAGAAUGAAAUUUUCUACAUUCUUUUGUGGCUAAGGUUUGGAAACCUAAUUAAAUGCAUUUGUGCUGUAGAAGCACCUAUGAGAAAGUUAAAGGAAGAGAAGACGAAAGCAGAUUAUC